rnacentral:lncRNA from 1 species
CUCACCACUAUGGCCGCCACACCUCAGAUUUUAUAAACCUGGAUCAGGUCCCCUCUCAGUCUUCUUUUCUCAAGGCUAAACAGACCCAGUAUGCAUCAUGCAUCAUGUCAUAGAAUCACAGAAUAUCUCAAGUUGGAAGGGACUCACAAAGAUCGAGUCCAACUCCCAACCACACAGGACCACCAAAAAUCCAAACCGUAUGACUAGGAGCAUUAUGCAAAUGCUCCUUGAACUACAGCAGCUUGGGGCCAUGACCACUGCCCUGGGGAGUCUGUUCCAGAAACACUGUGGUGAAGAAUAUUUUCUCAAUCCCCGACCUGAUCCUCCUCUGACACAGCUCCAUGCUGUAAUGUUGGGCAGUUCUUAAAAACAAAAACUUCAAACUUUCUGACUACUGUAGAUGCUAGACUCCAUUCAAAACCAGAGUAUUUAUAAAGUUAUAAUUAUACAGUACUUAGAUUAAGUAAUUUUUAUUUUAAAAAAAGAUCACAAAAGUAUUUUAUUCAACAUGAUUCUUGGCACCUCUAUUCAUGUUAUAAUAACACAUAUUUAGUAACUGUUAUCAAUACUGUCUAGAUUAGUUAAGUGUAAUAAUCUUCAGCUGUGACAGAUAGCAUACCUACUAGCUCUGGAAAAGAGAUAAGUGAUUUAUCUUUCCUUUACUGGAGGAAUGAGAAGGAAAAAAAAAAAAAAAAGCCCAUUCAGCAGAUAUUUGCAGACAUUAGCUGUGGAGAUGAUGUAUGUUAGUAUAUUGGAAGCUGGUUUAAAUUCUAAUUCAGUAAUAUUACUAAUCUCUUACUCCUUCUUUUUGUCAGGAUUUCUUUUGCAAGAAUGAGGUUAUUUUACAAUCUACCAUUGUUGAAGAUUAAACAUAAACAUAACACAAGGGGCUGCAGAAACAAACUGGAAACAGGAAUCCUGCGCAUCUGUCACACUGCAUGUCAGUUCAUGUUGGUUAGCACUGCUGUAACAGGCUUUUCCAGAUUCUGCAAUGUAACAUUACACGCGCACUUCAGUAUGGCAUAUAACGCAGGCAACAGCAAAAGCAUCCAUGCCUGUACGCAAACAGCGGUGCUCUACCUGUUACAGACACGGCAGUGAAGUGCAGCCACGCUUUGGAGGUACAGCAGUGGGAGAUAAGAACUAUCGGCACGAGCGUCACGCAGCUUGGAAGGAGAUUGCCA